AGGGUGUAAACGCUGCAGACUUGGUGUUGGAAGUCCUUUGGGGGUAUUCAGUGCCGGAGAGAAGUUGUUAAGUCUGCUACUUGGGGAGUACGUCCGCAAGGAUGAAACUUAAAGGAAUUGGCGGGGGAGCACCGCAACGGGAGGAGCGUGCGGUUUAAUUGGAUUCAACACCGGGAAGAUCACCGGAUAAGACAGCGGAAUGAUUGCCGGGCUGAAGACUCUGCAUGACUAGCUGAGAGGUGGUGCAUGGCGUAGACGUCU
rnacentral:rRNA from 1 species